rnacentral:rRNA from 1 species
GAACGAGAGCUUAACCUGCUAAUUAGCGGUGAGUACACUAUAUUCUUAUUUGAAAUUGAACAUAGGUAACUAUACAUUUAUUCAGUAAUCUUUAAGGGAUAUUUUUAUUAAAAUAUUCCUUUCCCUGUUCUACUAAUAAUUUGUUUUUUACUCUAUUUCUCUCUUCUUUUAAGAAUGUACUUGUUGAUUGAAAAGCUUCUUAGAGAACAGUGUGUAUCUAACACACAAAGAAGUUUAAGGCAAGCAACAGGUCUGUGAUGUCCUUAGAUAAACUAGGCGGUCGGACGGCGUGCUACAAUGAUAUAUAUAACAAGUUGUUAAAAAUGUACUUAUAAAUAAGUGUGUACAAUUUUUCCUGUACUGAAAAGUAUAGGUAAUCUUUAUCAGU